rnacentral:rRNA from 1 species
AGAGUACGUGAAACCGUUCAGGGGUAAACCUGAGAAACCCAAAAGAUCGAAUGGGGAGAUUCAUCGUCAACGGUGCUGGCUCCCGUUUGUGCGCGAUGCCCCGAAUGGGCCCUCGUGGUUCCAUGGCGAGGGCACGCCACUUUCGGCCUGAACGUUCCGGCGCCGUAGUCGUGCACUUCUCCCCUAGUAGAACGUCGCGACCCGUUGCGUGUCGGUCUACGGCCCGAGCGGGCGCCUGUCGCGGCGUGUUUCUGCGCACGCGGCAGACCCUCGGUUGCCCGGCCGGCUGCGCGACGGUACUCACACGGUAUCGGGCCGCAACCAAUCCAUUCUCGAAUGUGUGUGCGUCAGGCCCGCCGCAAGCUAGGGCAGUUUUACCCGGAGGCACGGACCUGGUGCCGUCCCCGGGCCUGACCAGCUGUUAGCAGGCGGUGUCCUCGGACUGGCCAAGCUUCGAAUUACCGGUCGGCGACGCUCCUGCUUUGGGUACUCUCAGGACCCGUCUUGAAACACGGACCAAGGAGUCUAACAUGUGCGCGAGUCAUUGGGAUGCAUAAACCUAAAGGCGCAAUGAAAGUGAAGGUCGGCCUACGCGUCGACCUGGGGAGGAUGGGCCGCGUUACGAUGCGGCCCCGCACUCCCGGGGCGUUUCGUUCUCAUUGCGAGAAGAGGCGCACCUAGAGCGUACACGUUGGGACCCAAAGGGGGGGGAAAAAAAAA